ACGGGUGUAGCUCAACUGGUAGAGUAGUGGUCUCCAAAACCAUUGGUUGUGGGUUCGAGUCCUACCACCCGUG
rnacentral:tRNA from 1 species